AUCAUCAUCAUCCAGCGCGUUGCCACGCGAACGUGCUCGAACAAGAGGGGCUCGAGCAGGGCAUGAGCUCAAAUCACGUUUCCACGCGCAGUCGUUCGGACGGCGCUUUCUCGUUAUGGACGACAGCAGAGGCAACGUGGCUUUCCCGAGACCGUCUUCCCAGGCCUCGACCAUCUUGCCAGCAGGCACCGUCAACGGUGGUGUGCUGGCUUUCGUGGUUCUCGUUGGCAAGCUCCACCAAGGCGACGCCGCGACUUGGCUCAUGGCGGACCCGAUCCUUUACUGCUCUCGGCUGUCUCGCCGUUUUUUCCCUAUACCUGAGAUGCAAGGUCGUGGAUCAGAAGCAGCCGUCGUUCACCAGAGUUUCAUCGGCGACAGUUCACGAUCGCCGUGAAACUGCAGCCGAGCAACACAUCAGCCCUUGGCACACCAGCGAGACAUCGAGAGAUGCCAUCUGCCUAGAGGAGCUGACUCGGCCACCGGGUGUUCCAUGGCUGUGUUCGCGCAUGCGCCCGACGUCUCCUUUACCGCGGAGGGCCACGCAGAGAAGCCACCGAGUCCAGCCAAGGUACAAGGGCGAGGCCAGCCGGUCGUCGGCCACGAAAGCCACAGUGGAGAGCGCACAGGCUUCAGUGGCCACGGGGCUCCACGCCGUGAAUUCGACCAUGCAUCAGGAGUGCUUAGGCCACGCUGUCAUCAGUCCCUGCCUUGCCGCGAGAUUGUGUGUUUAAAGGGACGAACUGUAGGACGCAGUUCUUCACAUCCUUGCUUUGUUGGCGGCAUAUUCAUGCGUGACUUGUGCGUUUAUCUCCUGAACCGACCAUAUCUCGCGCCAAUUUUUGAUUGUAGUAUAUUUAUGCACGCAUAUUCAUUUCGCCGGGUACUUAUUUCUUGAUUUAUGCGUAAAUUUUUUCGUUGA
rnacentral:misc_RNA from 1 species